GUAGGGUGCGAGCGUUAAUCGGAAUUACUGGGCGUAAAGCGUGCGCAGGCGGUUCUAUAAGACAGAUGUGAAAUCCCCGGGCUCAACCUGGGAACUGCGUUUGUGACUGUAGGACUUGAGUGUGGCAGAGGGGGGUGGAAUUCCACGUGCAGCAGUGAAAUGCGUAGAGAUGUGGAGGAACACCGAUGGCGAAGGCAGCCCCCUGGGUCAACACUGACGCUCAUGCACGAAAGCGUGGGGAGCAAACAGGAUUAGAUACCCUGGUAGUCCACGCCCUAAACGAUGCGAACUAGGUGUUGGGGAAGGAGACUUUCUUAGUACCGCAGCUAACGCGUGAAGUUCGCCGCCUGGGGAGUACGGUCGCAAGAUUA
rnacentral:rRNA from 1 species